CCAGCUCCAAUAGCAUAUAUUAAAGUUGUUGCAGUUAAAAAGCUCGUAGUUGGAUUUCUGGGAGGGUGCCAAUGUCCGCAUGUUGCGUGUGCAGCGGCGCCCUUCCAUCCUUCUGUUAACGUUUCUGGUAUUCAGUUACUGGACUCGGGCUCAGAUACUUUACCUUGAGAAAAUUAGAGUGUUCCAGGCAGGCUUGCGCCGGAAUACAUUAGCAUGGAAUAAUAGAAUAGGACUUUAGUCUCCUUUGUUGGUUUGAGGGACUGAAGUAAUGAUUAAUAGGGAUAGUUGGGGGCAUUAGUAUUUAAUUGUCAGAGGUGAAAUUCUCGGAUUUGUUAAAGACUAACUUAUGCGAAAGCAUUUGCCAAGGAUGUUUUCA
rnacentral:rRNA from 1 species